rnacentral:pre_miRNA from 1 species
CAACUACUCCCUCCGUUCGGAAUUACUUGUCUCGAAUAUGGAUGUAUCUAGAGCUAAAAUACAUCUAGAUACAUCCAUUUCUGCGACAAGUAAUUCCGAACGGAGGGAGUAGUAA